AUGAGCAAAGAGAAAGUGCUAGCUCAAAAGCUAAAUGUUCUUCAAAGAAUACCAAUCAAAAUGGGAUCGACCAUAACUUUCAGUGAGUUUCACUGUUUUAAUAGCGAGCUUUCAAUGAUUUUCUUCUCAAAAUUAUUAUUUCUUAUUUCUAUCAAAGGAAAAACCCAGUCCACUUCCAAGAAUGCAGUCACCCCGGCGACAGCGACUACGAGGACAGUUCCGCGAAAGACGAGGAGGAAGAGGAGGACGCGGACCGACCUGAGUGUCCGUACGGCACAGACUGCUACAGGAAAAACCCUCUUCACUGGAAGGAGUACAAACACACCAAGAAGACUCGAGCGAAAAAGCCGGUAUCAUACAACAACGAUGAUGAUGAUGAUGAUGAUGAUGAGUUUGGGGACGAUGACAGCUUCAUCAAUGAUGAGAGCGAGGACAUUGGUGGAGACUCUGACUAUGAGCCACCUGACUCAGACGACAGUGGCAAGGAGGACCUCAAAACACUCAAGAAAGAAGCCAAGGCCUUCACAAGGUCGAAAUGAACUAAUGGCCUAA
rnacentral:lncRNA from 8 species